GGAAAUCUUGAAGGUGUUUGAUGAAAUGCCUUAAGUUCAUUGUCUCCUCUGUUUGUGUCGGACUAGCUUUGAAUUGGUGGAGAAGCUUCGUUUUCCUCCACAGCAACUUCAAAUUCCUUCAUCAAAGGGUGUGACUACAAUUUCGGAUUGAGGUAGAUGGUUGGAGUGUCGCUCGGAGUAUCCUGUCUGCCGGGUCCUACGUCACAUCCGAAGG